UAAUAAGUGUUUUAUGGCACUUUUUAAAUCCAUAUCCACCUUGUGUGCAAUGUCGGUCGAUCUUCUUCUUUGAGGAUCGACCAAACAUCAACCUUUAUUUUUUAACUCUUUGUCUGAAAAAUAUUAUGAAUAAACAAUUCAAAAUA
rnacentral:misc_RNA from 1 species